GAACUGAAGAGUUUGAUCAUGGCUCAGAUUGAACGCUGGCGGCAGGCCUAACACAUGCAAGUCGAGCGGUAGAGAGGAGCUUGCUUCUCUUGAGUAGUGGCGGACGGGUGAGUAAUGCCUAGGAAUCUGCCUAGUGGUGGGGGAUAACGUUCGGAAACGGACGCUAAUACCGCAUACGUCCUACGGGAGAAAGCGGGGGAUCUUCGGACCUCGCGCCAUUAGAUGAGCCUAGGUCGGAUUAGCUAGUUGGUGAGGUAAUGGCUCACCAAGGCGACGAUCCGUAGCUGGUCUGAGAGGAUGAUCAGUCACACUGGAACUGAGACACGGCCCAGACUCCUACGGGAGGCAGCAGUGGGGAAUAUUGGACAAUGGGCGAAAGCCUGAUCCAGCCAUGCCGCGUGUGUGAAGAAGGUCUUCGGAUUGUAAAGCACUUUAAGUUGGGAGGAAGGGUUGUAGAUUAAUACUCUGCAAUUUUGACGUUACCGACAGAAUAAGCACCGGCUAACUUCGUGCCAGCAGCCGCGGUAAUACGAAGGGUGCAAGCGUUAAUCGGAAUUACUGGGCGUAAAGCGCGCGUAGGUGGUUCGUUAAGUUGGAUGUGAAAGCCCCGGGCUCAACCUGGGAACUGCAUCCAAAACUGGCGAGCUAGAGUACGGUAGAGGGUAGUGGAAUUUCCCAGUGUAGCGGUGAAAUGCGUAGAUAUAGGAAGGAACACCAGUGGCGAAGGCGACUACCUGGACUGAUACUGACGCUGAGGUGCGAAAGCGUGGGGAGCAAACAGGAUUAGAUACCCU
rnacentral:rRNA from 1 species